rnacentral:rRNA from 1 species
UACGGAGGGGUUAGCGUUGUUCGGAAUUACUGGGCGUAAAGCGCGCGUAGGCGGGCUGUUAAGUCGGGGUGAAAUCCCGGGGCUCAACCCCGGAACGGCCCUCGAUACUGGCAGCCUAGAGUUCGAGAGAGGUGAGUGGAAUUCCGAGUGUAGAGGUGAAAUUCGUAGAUAUUCGGAGGAACACCAGUGGCGAAGGCGGCUCACUGGCUCGAUACUGACGCUGAGGUGCGAAAGCGUGGGGAGCAAACAGG